rnacentral:rRNA from 2 species
AAUUGAAGAGUUUGAUCAUGGCUCAGAUUGAACGCUGGCGGCAGGCCUAACACAUGCAAGUCGAACGGUAACAGGAAGCAGCUUGCUGCUUUGCUGACGAGUGGCGGACGGGUGAGUAAUGUCUGGGAAACUGCCCGAUGGAGGGGGAUAACUACUGGAAACGGUAGCUAAUACCGCAUAACGUCGCAAGACCAAAGAGGGGGACCUUAGGGCCUCUUGCCAUCGGAUGUGCCCAGAUGGGAUUAGCUAGUAGGUGGGGUAACGGCUCACCUAGGCGACGAUCCCUAGCUGGUCUGAGAGGAUGACCAGCCACACUGGAACUGAGACACGGUCCAGACUCCUACGGGAGGCAGCAGUGGGGAAUAUUGCACAAUGGGCGCAAGCCUGAUGCAGCCAUGCCGCGUGUAUGAAGAAGGCCUUCGGGUUGUAAAGUACUUUCAGCGGGGAGGAAGGGAGUAAAGUUAAUACCUUUGCUCAUUGACGUUACCCGCAGAAGAAGCACCGGCUAACUCCGUGCCAGCAGCCGCGGUAAUACGGAGGGUGCAAGCGUUAAUCGGAAUUACUGGGCGUAAAGCGCACGCAGGCGGUUUGUUAAGUCAGAUGUGAAAUCCCCGGGCUCAACCUGGGAACUGCAUCUGAUACUGGCAAGCUUGAGUCUCGUAGAGGGGGGUAGAAUUCCAGGUGUAGCGGUGAAAUGCGUAGAGAUCUGGAGGAAUACCGGUGGCGAAGGCGGCCCCCUGGACGAAGACUGACGCUCAGGUGCGAAAGCGUGGGGAGCAAACAGGAUUAGAUACCCUGGUAGUCCACGCCGUAAACGAUGUCGACUUGGAGGUUGUGCCCUUGAGGCGUGGCUUCCGGAGCUAACGCGUUAAGUCGACCGCCUGGGGAGUACGGCCGCAAGGUUAAAACUCAAAUGAAUUGACGGGGGCCCGCACAAGCGGUGGAGCAUGUGGUUUAAUUCGAUGCAACGCGAAGAACCUUACCUGGUCUUGACAUCCACGGAAGUUUUCAGAGAUGAGAAUGUGCCUUCGGGAACCGUGAGACAGGUGCUGCAUGGCUGUCGUCAGCUCGUGUUGUGAAAUGUUGGGUUAAGUCCCGCAACGAGCGCAACCCUUAUCCUUUGUUGCCAGCGGUCCGGCCGGGAACUCAAAGGAGACUGCCAGUGAUAAACUGGAGGAAGGUGGGGAUGACGUCAAGUCAUCAUGGCCCUUACGACCAGGGCUACACACGUGCUACAAUGGCGCAUACAAAGAGAAGCGACCUCGCGAGAGCAAGCGGACCUCAUAAAGUGCGUCGUAGUCCGGAUUGGAGUCUGCAACUCGACUCCAUGAAGUCGGAAUCGCUAGUAAUCGUGGAUCAGAAUGCCACGGUGAAUACGUUCCCGGGCCUUGUACACACCGCCCGUCACACCAUGGGAGUGGGUUGCAAAAGAAGUAGGUAGCUUAACCUUCGGGAGGGCGCUUACCACUUUGUGAUUCAUGACUGGGGUGAAGUCGUAACAAGGUAACCGUAGGGGAACCUGCGGUUGGAUCACCUCCUUA